rnacentral:rRNA from 1 species
AGCAAUAUGUGGCAUACGGCUCAGUAACACGUAGUCAACAUGCCCAGGGGACGUGGAUAACCUCGGGAAACUGAGGAUAAACCGCGAUAAGUCACUACUUCUGGAAUGGGUAAUGACUUAAAUCUAUAUGGCCCCUGGAUUGGACUGCGGCCGAUCAGGCUGUUGGUGAGGUAAUGGCCCACCAAACCUGUAACCGGUACGGGCUCUGAGAGGAGGAGCCCGGAGAUGGGCACUGAGACAAGGGCCCAGGCCCUAUGGGGCGCAGCAGGCGCGAAACCUCUGCAAUAGGCGAAAGCCUGACAGGGUUACUCUGAGUGAUUUCCGUUAAGGAGAUCUUUUGGCACCUCUAAAAAUGGUGCAGAAUAAGGGGUGGGCAAGUCUGGUGUCAGCCGCCGCGGUAAUACCAGCACCCCGAGUGGUCGGGACGUUUAUUGGGCCUAAAGCAUCCGUAGCCGGUUCUGCAAGUCUUCCGUUAAAUCCACCUGCUUAACAGAUGGGCUGCGGAAGAUACUAUAGAGCUAGGAGGCGGGAGAGGCAAGCGGUACUCGAUGGGUAGGGGUAAAAUCCGUUGAUCCAUUGAAGACCACCAGUGGCGAAGGCGGCUUGCCAGAACGCGCUCGACGGUGAGGGAUGAAAGCUGGGGGAGCAAACCGGAUUAGAUACCCGGGUAGUCCCAGCUGUAAACGAUGCAGACUCGGUGAUGAAUUGGCUUCAUGCCAAUUCAGUGCCGCAGGGAAGCCGUUAAGUUUGCCGCCUGGGGAGUACGGUCGCAAGACUGAAACUUAAAGGAAUUGGCGGGGGAGCACCACAAGGGGUGAAGCCUGCGGUUCAAUUGGGAUUCAACGCCGGA